rnacentral:piRNA from 1 species
GUACCAAACAGAUUGUGGUUGUUAUGA